rnacentral:rRNA from 1 species
UUCCGGUUGAUCCCGCCGGAGGUCACUUGCUUUACGGGGUUCGAUUAAGCCAUGCGAGUCGAGAGGGUUCGGCCCUCGGCGUACUGCUCAGUAACACGUGGAUAACCUGCCCUAGGGAAGGGGAUAAUCCCGGGAAACUGGGGAUAAUACCCUAUAGGUUACAGAUGCUGGAAUGCUCUGUAAUCAAAAGUUCCGGCGCCCUAGGAUGGAUCUGCGGCCGAUUAGGUUGUUGUUGGGGUAAUGGCCCAACAAGCCAGUAAUCGGUACGGGUUGUGGGAGCAAGAGCCCGGAGUUGGAUUCUGAGACACGAAUCCAGGCCCUACGGGGCGCAGCAGGCGCGAAAACUUUACAAUGCGGGCAACCGUGAUAAGGGAACCUCGAGUGCCUGUAAAUGCAGGCUGUUCAGAUGCCUAAAACACAUCUGGAGAAAGGGCCGGGCAAGACCGGUGCCAGCCGCCGCGGUAAUACCGGCGGCUCGAGUGGUGGCCACUUUUAUUGGGCUUAAAGCGUUCGUAGCUGGGUUGUUAAGUCUCUAGGGAAAUCUGGC